UAUCCCCUCAAACUGGAAAUGAGAAUCGCCACGUGCGCAAGGGUGAUGAAUACGUGAACCACGUUGGUAGAAACCUCCAGUUAACUCAAAUCUCCCACCCUGGAUUCAAAUUUUCUCCGCCGCACCGGAAUCCGUUGCCGGUGGCGGCAUUGCCUGAACUACCAAAUCCAGAUACCAAACUUCUCCUAUGUACGCCCUGAAUUCGAAUCUUGACUCAGGUUCCCCAAACUUAUCAUCAACUAAAUGAAUCAUAGCAACUUCUUCAUGAACCCUAGGUCGUAAAACAUAAAUAAAACUCUCCCUACCUAGAAUCGAAGCCCUAGGGGUUGGGGUUCUGAUUCCAAUCACCUCCGGCUAUACUACGGUAACUAGUUCAAAAUGGAAUAAUGAAUAGACCAACGUACCUUCCAGAGACGACGAAGAGAGCGACAAUUUCGGUGAGUUCUUGCUUUGAAUCUUUCUUCUUUAUGAAUGCGAAAAAUUCUUCUUCUUCUCCAGUCUCUAGUCUCUAGGAAUGGCUUCUUCUUGAGAUGCGUGUGCGAUUUUUUGCAACGGAGAGGGUGGCAAAGAUUGAAGCUCAACUGCUUAGAGCUUCUGAUGUUGAAGGUCUAACAGUUACGGUAAUUGAGAGCUAUAGUGAGGGAUUGGGAUGAGUUUUUAGAAUCACGUGCCCAACCCAUGAAUGAGGGUGAGAGAUGAAUUUAUAGAGUUGGGAAUGGUUAACUGAAUCAGGCGGUUCAGGAAGCUCCGUUAGGGAAGUUCAUACUGUUAGUGAAAUUGCAAUGGAAGUUAAUUGAAUGUUAAAGUUUUGUUAAUUGUUCAGUUGGAAAUUUAUUAGAGAAGUUAGUUAUGUUUGUAGUGUGAGUUUUUCUGUUAUUAGUUGGGAUUCUCUUGUUUUGUUAAAUGUUAAACGAAAAAGGAGUAUUGGAUAUUGUCUUUGGUUUUGUAAUGCUUUAAGUUUUGUAUUUGUAUUGUGUAAUAUUAUCCCAUGUGGAGGUCAGCUUGUCAGAUGCCAACGGUGUCGUGAACUGCUGUGUGUGUGAUUAGAAUGUAUCAUCUGCUACUUAUAGAGGGAUUAUGGUUCGCUACAGAAGGUCGCAGCUCCCGCUGAUAGAACUACCAGUGGUGAUUCUGGACCAAUUGUUAUCUCCGUCACUGAAGGAAACUGCCUCAUAAGCAGCAUGGAAAUAAUCUACUUGGUUACUAUUUCAUUCUCCCACAACCUGCUAAUAGUCUGAGAUAGUAAAGAAACCAACUCAUUUGAGGAUAUGCAGGCCUUGAUGGAAGAAUUCUCACACAUGCCACCACCCAAUAAUUUGAGCAGGUCACGAGGCAACCGGUCAGUGUUAUUCUCAAGAAAUGAUAAGAGAUCUCCAUAACCAAGAGAGUUAAAAUUCUUCACACCAAACUGCUCAGCCAACCAACUUUCACAGUUGCAAAACUUUCUCGAAAACAUUAUUUUAUACUUCCCCUGUGAGUCACCAUUUCUAUAUAUCUCAAGAAAUGCAAUUUGUAUUCUCUACAUUAUCCUUUGCUACCAGUGGUACAUUUUCCAA